UGGGGAAUAUUGGACAAUGGGGGAAACCCUGAUCCAGCGACGCCGCGUGUGUGAAGAAGGCCUGCGGGUUGUAAAGCACUUUUAGUGGGGACAAAAAGCUACGGAUUAAUACUUCGUGGUCUUGAUUUAACCCAAAGAAAAAGCACCGGCUAACUCUGUGCCAGCAGCCGCGGUAAUACAGAGGGUGCGAGCGUUAAUCGGAAUUACUGGGCGUAAAGCGCGCGUAGACGGUUUUUGUAAGUCAGAUGUGAAAUCCCUGGGCUCAACCUGGGAACUGCAUUUUGAAACUGCAUGGCUAGAGUAUCGAAGAGGGAAGUGGAAUUUCCGGUGUAGCGGUGAAAUGCGUAGAUAUCGGAAGGAACACCAGUGGCGAAAGCGACUUCCUGGUCGAAUACUGACGUUCAUGUGCGAAAGCGUGGGGAGCAAA
rnacentral:rRNA from 1 species